AGCUGAGAGGUGGUGCAUGGCCGUCGUCAGUUCGUACUGUGAAGCAUCCUGUUAAGUCAGGCAACGAGCGAGACCCACGCCCACAGUUGCCAGCGUACUCUCUGGAGUGACGGGUACACUGUGGGGACCGCCGCUGCUAAAGCGGAGGAAGGAAUGGGCAACGGUAGGUCAGUAUGCCCCCGAAUAUCCCGGGCUACACGCGAGCUACAAUGGUUGGUACAAUGGGUAUCUACCCCGAAAGGGGACGGGAAUCUCCUAAAACCAAUCUUAGUUCGGAUUGAGGGCUGCAACUCGCCCUCAUGAAGCUGGAAUCCGUAGUAAUCGCGUUUCAACAGAACGCGGUGAAUACGUCCCUGCUCCUU
rnacentral:rRNA from 1 species